CGGGGCCGGCUCCAGGCUGGAGCAUGCGAGCCCGGCUUCCCACAUGUGGGCAGUUGCAAGUUUGUGCGAGGGUGAGUUAGGGUGAAGGUCUGUGAUUGUGUUUGCACAGAAUGGGCGUUCUCGUCUGUGAUACAGCUGUUUGUGUGGCCAGGCAAUUGCGCGUCUCCCCCAGGACUUCGAUCAGUUCGUGUGGUGUUGAUUGAGAUAGAGCCCCUGAGAUCAGUGCUACUUGUGCAGAUCGUGCGGCUGUGACAAGACGUCGGUCUUCCCUUCUAUACGAAGCGCUUUGAGUUAGGACAAGAACUUACAGCUGCGGGGCUGCGGGGUUCCUAUAAAGGGGCGGAUCUGCAAGGCACCAGGUCUGCAUUCUACUCAAGUUGUGCGUCUCAGGAUGGGACCUCUCCCUGGCUGGACCCUGACGUCAGGAAGAACUUGAUCUGGCCUGCUUCACUCCUGCUUCUGAAACUGAUCCUUGAAAUGAGAGAACAGACUCUACACAAUUCCCAUGGCCUUGACAUAAGGUCGGUUGCCUUCCCCUUGCCCUUUCACCACGCUGACCCGUGGGGUCAGAUACUAACGGGCUGGAGAACCACGGCUGGGUCACGUUUGGGGAGGAACCUCAGUCUUGCAGGGAAGAUGGAGGUGCAGACACGCAGGCCCUGUCCACAUGGUCACUUGGGCCCUUGUCCCGUUUCUCUCCAGCCCAGCAUGGAAGCCUCAGCUUGAGGGGGCUCAAUGCCGCCGCAGGA